rnacentral:lncRNA from 1 species
GGCAGACAACUCUGCAUGAUUUCAAAUUUUUCCAUGCUCAUGCUGUGGAAAAGUAAUUGUUUUCAAUCAAUGUAGAAUGCAUUGCACUGAGACUCUAGGGGGUCGAUGAGUUUAAGAUAUAAAAAUUAUUUAUUCAGUAACACUGCUGUUUAAAUAGUGUUGACAAUUCAAAUGUUCUAUGAAAAAAUCCCUUUUGUAUUAUGACAUAAUAAAAGCCAAUAGAUAUAUCUUCAAGGUAUCCAUACAGUUACUGAGAGAUGAGUGAACAAAAUGACUGAUCGUUGAUCUGGGUAAAUGACGCCAUUGAAGUCAAAAGUAAAAGCCUUGCGACAUAAGUAUUUUGUAGCUGCAGAACCGUAACUCUUAUGGUCCUUUAUUAUUGUUUUUCCC